UUAAGCCGAUAGGUGUAGGCGCAGCGAAAGCGAGUCUUAAUAGGGCGAUUAGUUUGUUGCAUUAGACCCGAAACCGAGUGAUCUAGCCAUGAGCAGGUUGAAGGUUGGGUAACACCAACUGGAGGACCGAACCCGCAUCUGUUGCAAUAGAUUGGGAUGACUUGUGGUUAGGGGUGAAAGGCCAAUCAAACUCGGAGAUAGCUGGUUCUCCGCGAAAUCUAUUUAGGUAGAGCGUCGACCGAAUACCCUCGGGGGUAGAGCACUGGAUGGGCUAUGGGGACU
rnacentral:rRNA from 12 species